rnacentral:rRNA from 1 species
UACAGAGGGUGCGAGCGUUAAUCGGAAUUACUGGGCGUAAAGGGCGCGUAGGCGGUAUUAAAAGUGUUAUGUGAAAGCCCCGGGCUUAACCUGGGAAGAGCAUAGCGGACUGUAGUACUGGAGUACAAGAGAGGGUAGCGGAAUUUCCGGUGUAGCGGUGAAAUGCGUAGAUAUCGGAAGGAACGUCAAUGGCGAAGGCAGCUACCUGGCUUGAUACUGACGCUGAGGCGCGAAAGCGUGGGGAGCGAACAGG